UAAUAAAUAAAAUUAAUAAAUAAAUAGGCCUAUUUUAAACUUAAUAUCUAUAUCUGUAAUUACGUCUAUUACUAUUAUUUAUAAUAAAACUAAGUAUUUCGAGGAGCAGUUCCAAAUCAUUUGCAGUGCGGGUGUCUCCUCUCCACCGGCCUCGUUGGCUCCAAAAUCCCCUCCCUCUUCCUUGUCCUCUUCCUCUCCACCUUCCACGACCUAGUCCUCGUCCACCUCUCCUACUUCCUCCUCUUCCACCUCCCCUGCUUUCUCCUCUUCCACCUCCCCUGCUUUCUCCUCUUCCACCUCCCCUACCUUGUCCAACUCCCCUGCUUUCUCCUCUUCCACCUCCCCUACCUUGUCCCGCAACUCCCCUGCCUCUUCCCCGUCCCCGGUGUGGCUCUACAGCUCCUCCGUUAGCUUGGUCGUCAUCGCCACCACCUACAUCAUUGUGAUGACGACCAACUUCACCACCUCUUCCUGCAUCUCCACCACCCCGGGGAGGAGAACCACCUUGACCACGAGGAGGCUGAUGAGCAGGUGGCGGUGGCAAAUUGGCAGAAUUGCCAUCUCUUUGUGGAGAAUCCUCCAUCUCAUCCUGUACAAGUAAAGAAAUGUAACUUAAGAAGACUUAACAGUACAUCGGUGCUAUAAAGAGCAAUAGGCAGGAGAACUAAGGAGUGGAGAAUGAAGCCUUGUUUAGGGACAGUUCUGACACCCAAAAAUACAAUUAAUAAAAAGUAGUAAUUGUUUUUAUUAAUUAAAAUAAUUAUUUUUAUUGAAUGAAAUUACGGCAUAUACAGUGAUUGUAUAGAUGUAUCAAAUAAUAUUAAUUUAAUUAUGUGCCAUAAUCUAUAUACAUAA